CCAUAGCUCAGCUGGAUAGAGCACGGGUCUUCUAAACCUGAGGCCGCAGGUUCGAAUCCUGCUGGG
rnacentral:tRNA from 1 species